ACGAGCCACAUGCAGGGAAACUUGCACAUGUGGUUCUGGCCGGGCUUUCCUUCUGUAUCUAAUAACUUGCAAAAGAAUGGACGGGAGAAACUACCGGCC
rnacentral:ncRNA from 1 species